AGAGUUUGUGCAGUUGCAGAAUACAGUCUGAAUUAAAGGAUUGUAUGUGUGUUUAUGCAGGGUGCUGUGCAGGAGUUUUGAGUCGAGUAAAGGUUUCAUCAUCACUGGAAUAAUCUGGUGAGGAUGAAACACAUUUUCUUUUUUUUAUUCCUUGCUGUACAGGUCUUUCUACAGAGUCUCUGAAGCUGGAAGAUGUGUCAUCAUCACUGGAAGUAUCUGCUGAUGGCGAGGUGGCUCUUUUUUUUCCAGGUUUUUCCACAGCUUGUUUGGGGCAGCAUUGUGUUUCAGCAUCACUGGAAGAAUGAGGUUGUCUUGUGAAGGUAAAAUGAUGUUAAUCCAUUCAAACUACAAUUUGAUUCUAAGUGUAAUUUAGGAGUAAAACGUGAUAUUGAUUUGAGAGCAAAGAAGAAAUCUGCAAAUUGUCUAUGAACCUAUAUUUAU